UCAAAGCAUUUAACUGAGGUGUGAAAAAUAAGCUGAACUCUACAGCUUGUUGUGGUCCCCUGUGGCUUGACAGCCUUCCAGCUGUUCUCCAGCAUUUUCAUUUACAGUCAUAAAAUAUCUCCACAUGUUGCUCCUCUUUCUCUCUCUCUGCAGUCCAAAUGCGUCUUCUGAGCGCAUCUGAGUCACGUGACGGCACAGGAACAAAUCCCAGCAGGGCAGGAAGAAGGGGGCGGAGCAAAGUGCGUCUGCCGCAUAAGAAGAGGUGUUCACACAGACAGAGCUGCUUUUUCAUCCACAGCGAGUAAAUAGUGAACCUCCAGGAGAGAAACAAACUAAAGUAUCGAUCAUAUACCACUACCAACGUUUGGAUCGAUAUCUGCAUCGAUCUGCACACCCUUGUCUCCUGGAUCGUAGCUGAGAUCAGCGUGAACCACGUGGGUCUCUGCUCCCUGACCUGUUUCCUGUUUGGAAAGAGUUCCAGCUUCAUCACGGAGUUUCUCUCGGUUUGUGGGCUCAUCUAAAGGACCAACGUGGAUCGAGAAGUCAGCGCUCUCAGGAGGCCGACAAUUUUGUUGAAGAAAGUAGUGGAAGAAAAAAAUACAACCGUGACGAGUUUGGGAAAGAUUUUACUGUGAAAGCUUCCCUAACAAUGCAUCAGGUCAUCCACACCGGAGAGAGACCAUUCAGCUGUGGAGACUGUGGAAAGUCUUUUACGCAGUCUGGAAACUUAAAAACACACCAACUAAUCCACACUGGAGAGAGACCGUUCAGCUGUGGAGACUGUGGAAAGUCUUUUACCCACUCUGGAAACCUAAAGACACACCAACUGAUUCACAGUGGAGAGAGACUGUUCAGCUGUGGAGACUGUGGAAAGUCUUUUACCAGGUCUGGACACUUAAAAGCACACCAACUAAUCCACACUGGAGAGAGACCAUUCAGCUGUGACAAGUGUGGAAAGUCUUUUACCCACUCUGGAAGCUUAAAAACACACCAACUAAUCCACACUGGAGAGAGACCAUUCAGCUGUGACAAGUGUGGAAAGUCUUUUACCCUCUCUGGAAGCUUAAAAAGACAUCAACUAAUCCACACUGGAGAGAGACCGUUCAGCUGUGAAGACUGUGGAAAGUAUUUUACCCAGUCUCGAACAUUAAAAACACACCAACUCAUCCACACUGGAGAGAGACCGUUCAGCUGUGACGAGUGUGGAAAGUCUUUUACCACGUCUGGACACUUAAAAACACACCAACUAAUCCACACUGGAGAGAGACCAUUCAGCUGUGACGAGUGUGGAAAGUCAUUUACACACAUUUCAAACUUAAAAAGACAUCAACUCCUCCACAGUGGAGUUAAAGCGUACACCUGUGAUCAGUGUGGCAGAGCUUUUACUCACAUUAACAGCUUACAGAGUCAUCUAGUUACCCACUCUGGAAUUAAGGCGUACAGCUGUGACGUCUGUGGAAAAACUUUCAGCCGGAUAGGGAGCCGAAAUACACACCUACGCAUUCACACCAGACAUGAUGUGUACAGCUGUGAUCAGUGUGGUAAACAGUUUACUACAAACACAGAGUUACGACGUCACAUGUUUACCCACACUGAGGAACGACCUUAUAAAUGUGACCUGUGUGAGAAGACUUUUAAAUCUCCACGUUGCCUGAAAGCACACCAACAGAUCCACACCAGAAAGACUCUACAAGUGCAGUUACUGUGAGAAGCAGAGCGACACAGAUGGAUCAAGUUCUCAACCCUGUCAUCGCUGUGGGAAAGACUUUUGUUGUGACCUUUGUGGAAAAACUUGAAGUCAUUGAAGGACUCUGAAAAUACAUCAACGUAGACACACUGGAGACAAAAUGAACUACUGUAAAGAAUGCGGGAGAGGCUUCACCACUUCAAAGGACUUCAAACAAUAUGAACUCCUUCACAGUGGCGUUAAAAAGCAUGUCUGCGAUCAGUGUGGGUCAUCCUUCAUCAGUGCACGUCAGCUUGAAAAGCAUAAACGAGUCCACACAUGAGAGAAACCAUACAAGUGCAGACACUGUGACAAAACCUUUUCACAAUCAUGUGAUCAUACUAAGCAUGAACGCAGACACAUGAAAGAGAACUUCAUCACGUGCCCCCCGUGUGCGGCAGCCUGUUACAGCAGCUCUGCUCGUUCUGAGUUUCUUUCUUUCUUAUCUUUUUCUUCUCGUAAGUUUUUAUAACUAACAUAUUAGUAAUUAGAUAAAAAAUUUCCCACGUGUGGGACUAAUAAAGGUUAUCUUAUCUUAUCUGUGAAAGAGUUUGAGUAAUCUCAGUUCAUACUCCACUCAGAAACGAUUCCAUGUUACAAAUAAACUGUUACGUCUUGAUUCCUGCUUUUACGUUAAUCUUGUAAACAGUACAUUUGCAUAACGACUGAAACCGGCCCAAUGAAUGAACAAUGGGCUGUAAGGUCAAUUUCUUCAUCAUUAAUAUGCAAAUUCUUAUGAGAAUUGAUCAACAACCACUGGUCAAUGGCCAUGAGUACCAUUCGCAGAGUAAAAAUUUGCAUAAUGAUUAUGAAAUUUACUGUUACCAAUGUUCAAAAACAUUUACUAAAUUAUUCAGCUUGUUUGUGUAAUGAAAUCCU